rnacentral:rRNA from 1 species
CCUACGGGAGGCUGCAGUGGGGAAUAUUGCACAAUGGGCGCAAGCCUGAUGCAGCCAUGCCGCGUGUGUGAAGAAGGCCUUCGGGUUGUAAAGCACUUUCAGCGGGGAGGAAGGCGGUGAGGUUAAUAACCUCAUCGAUUGACGUUACCCGCAGAAGAAGCACCGGCUAACUCCGUGCCAGCAGCCGCGGUAAUACGGAGGGUGCAAGCGUUAAUCGGAAUUACUGGGCGUAAAGCGCACGCAGGCGGUCUGUCAAGUCGGAUGUGAAAUCCCCGGGCUCAACCUGGGAACUGCAUUCGAAACUGGCAGGCUAGAGUCUUGUAGAGGGGGGGUAGAAUUCCAGGUGUAGCGGUGAAAUGCGUAGAGAUCUGGAGGAAUACCGGUGGCGAAGGCGGCCCCCUGGACAAAGACUGACGCUCAGGUGCGAAAGCGUGGGGAGCAAACAGGAUUAGAUACCCGGGUAGUC